rnacentral:rRNA from 1 species
GUAGGAGGCGAGCGUUGUCCGGAGUUACUGGGCGUAAAGGGUGCGCAGGCGGUCCGUGCAAGUGUGGGGUGAAAUCUCCCGGCUCAACCGGGAGGGUGCCGCGCAAACUGCCGGACUUGAGGCUCGGAGAGGGGCGUGGAAUUCCGGGUGGAGCGGUGAAAUGCGUAGAGAUCCGGAGGAACACCGACGGCGUAAGCAGCGCCCUGGACGAGACCUGACGCUCGGGCACGAAAGCUGGGGGAGCAAACAGGAUUAGAUACCCUGGUAGUCCCAGCCCUAAACGAUGUCCACCAGGUGCCGCGGGUAUCGACCCCUGCGGUGCCGCAGCUCACGUGAUGAGUGGACCGCCUGGGGAGUACGGCCGCAAGGUUG